GACGAACGCUGGCGGCGUGCUUAACACAUGCAAGUCGAACGGUGAAAGCGGAGCUUGCUCCGCUGGAUCAGUGGCGAACGGGUGAGUAACACGUGGGCAACCUGCCCCUCACUUCGGGAUAACUCCGGGAAACCGGGGCUAAUACCGGAUAUGACCCCCUUGGGCAUCCUUGGAGGUGGAAAGUUUUUCGGUGAGGGAUGGGCCCGCGGCCUAUCAGCUUGUUGGUGAGGUAGUGGCUCACCAAGGCGACGACGGGUAGCCGGCCUGAGAGGGCGACCGGCCACACUGGGACUGAGACACGGCCCAGACUCCUACGGGAGGCAGCAGUGGGGAAUAUUGCGCAAUGGGCGAAAGCCUGACGCAGCAACGCCGCGUGCGGGAUGACGGCCUUCGGGUUGUAAACCGCUUUCAGCAGGGAAGAAGCCGCAAGGUGACGGUACCUGCAGAAGAAGCACCGGCUAACUACGUGCCAGCCGCCGCAGUAAGAC
rnacentral:rRNA from 1 species